CCUACGGGACGCUGCAGUGGGGGAUAUUGCACAAUGGGGGGAACCCUGAUGCAGCGACGCCGCGUGGGUGAAGAAGCGCCUCGGCGCGUAAAGCCCUGUCAGCAGGGAAGAAAAUGACGGUACCUGAAGAAGCAGCCCCGGCUAACUACGUGCCAGCAGCCGCGGUCAUACGUAGGGGGCAAGCGUUAUCCGGAUUUACUGGGUGUAAAGGGGGCGCAGACGGCGAUGCAAGCCAGGAGGGAAAGCCCGGGGCCCAACCCCGGGACUGCUCUUGGAACUGCGUGGCUGGAGUGCAGGAGGGGCAGGCGGAAUUCCUGGUGUAGCGGUGAAAUGCGUAGAUAUCAGGAGGAACACCGGUGGCGAAGGCGGCCUGCUGGACUGCAACUGACGUUGAGGCCCGAAAGCGUGGGGAGCAAACAGGAUUAGAUACCCGAGUAGUC
rnacentral:rRNA from 1 species